UACGUAGGUGGCAAGCGUUGUCCGGAUUUACUGGGCGUAAAGGGCGUGCAGGCGGUCUGUUAAGUGCAGGGUGAAAGCUCCCGGCUCAACUGGGAGAGGUCCUUGCAUACUGGCGGACUUGAGGGGGGUAGAGGAAAGUGGAAUUCCCGGUGUAGUGGUGAUAUGCGUAGAUAUCGGGAGGAACACCUGUGGCGAAGGCGGCUUUCUGGGCCCUACCUGACGCUGAGGCGCGAAAGCGUGGGGAGCAAACAGG
rnacentral:rRNA from 1 species